UACGUAGGGGGCUAGCGUUGUCCGGAAUCAUUGGGCGUAAAGCGCGUGUAGGCGGUCCGGUAAGUCCGCUGUGAAAGUCCAGGGCUCAACCCUGGAAUGCCGGUGGAAACUGUCGGGCUGGAGUCCGGAAGAGGCGAGUGGAAUUCCUGGUGUAGCGGUGAAAUGCGCAGAUAUCAGGAGGAACACCAAUGGCGAAGGCAGCUCGCUGGGACGGUACUGACGCUGAGACGCGAAAGCGUGGGGAGCAAACAGGG
rnacentral:rRNA from 1 species